ACACCUCAACUCUCGUGGUUUGCCACGAUGAGCUUGGACUUUGGGGGUCUUGCUGGCCUACGGUCGGCUCCUCUUAAAUGAAUCAGCUUGCCAGUGUUUGGUGGCAUCACAGGUGUGAUAACUAUCUACGCUUGUGGUUUUCUGCCAGGUAACCUUCAGUGAUGGAGGUUCGCUGGGGCUCACAAAUGUCUCUCCUCAGCGAGGACAGCUUUUUAAU
rnacentral:misc_RNA from 1 species